AAUCGCCCCACUCUUCAUGUAACGCUGUGAAAGAAUCCUGCUCAUCAGAACGAAUUCUAACGGGUCGCUGAAUGUGAAGCUCACGUCACCAACAAAGCGCGGUUUCCUCCCUCGCCAUCCUUCCUCAUGGUCGCGCACCCGGUUCACCUCACCAACAAAGCGCGGUUUCCUCCCUCGCCCUUCUUCCUCGGGAUCGUGCACGCGGUUCACGUCACCAACAAAGCGCGGUUUCCUCCCUCGCCAGACUUCCUCAUGGUCGCGCACCCGUUUCACCUCACCAACAAAGCGCGGUUUCCUCCCUCGCGAUCCUUCCUCGUGAUCGCGCACCCAGCUCACCUCACCAGCAAAGCGCGGUUUCCUCCCUGGCAAUACUUCCUCGGGAUCGUGCACCCGUUUCACCUCACCAACAAAGCGCGGUUUCCUCCCUCGCCAUCCUUCCUCAUGGUCGCGCACCCGGCUCACCUCAAGAACAAAGCGCGGUUUCCUCCCUGGCAAUACUUCCUCGGGAUCGUGCACGCGGUUCACCUCACCAACAAAGCGCGGUUUCCUCCCUCGCCAUCCUUCCUCGUGGUCGCGCACCCGGCUCACCUCAAGAACAAAGCGCGGUUUCCUCCCUCGCCAUCCUUCCUUAUGGUCGCGCACCCGGCUCACCUCAACAACAAAGCGCGGUUUCCUCCCUCGCCAUCCUUCCUCGUGGUCGCGCACCCGGUUGGAUUUCACAGUCAUGGAAGUUCUGCUUUAAAAUCCGUUUCUGAAGAAGUGUUAAUGAUCUUGACACUGCUGACCAGGGACAAAAUGUCCCAUUGACAGUCAUGCUCUGGAGCAGGAUGGGCAGUGAGAGACCAGAGACCACAGGAUGGUGGAAAAGCCAGGAAAUUUGUGAGCCGACCAAACCGGAUUUGAAUUCUCUUUCUGAAAAUAAGUAAUUAUGUGAGUCACUCAUUCUCUGAGCUUGAGUUUCUGCAUCCGUAAACUAAGGAUGAUAUGUGAGUUUUGCUUGUUUCCCUAAGACAAGUUAUGCAAACUGAUAAGAGCAG
rnacentral:lncRNA from 1 species